GAAACUAGAAAUUGCAUGGAGGAAGACCAGCUACCGAAAAACACUGGUGAAAAGGGAAAGAAAUACUUGGAUGGGAGAGAGGACACCAAAAGCAUGGACAGAGUUGGGAGCAAAUAACAGAAGAGAAAUGCUAAAUAGGAAGCUGACCGUGAAGAUCAUUCCCAGGAAACUUUGCUUAAAUAUUGAAAACAAAGAUGGAAAAUAUAAUACUGGAAAAAAAACUCCAACAUAUGAAUAGUAUGAUCCUCAGUGCCACCAUGGAGUCCUGGGACCAAGGAUUAUGCUUCUGACUCCUCUGCUUUCCUUGCCAGGCAGGAGCCCUGGGCAGCCUGAUUCUUGCCUACAGAAGCUUGUGGCAUAAAUAUCAUCUGGCAUGCAAAGUAUUGCAUAUUUUUAAAGGCCUGAAAGUACACUGGGAUAGUGACUGCUUCUCCCUGAGUAUCUAGAAUAUGAACACAAUGAUACUUUUGGAUUAAUUCAGAGCUAUACCCCAGAAAAGUAACUUACAAGACUGUAUCCGUAUGUAUGUUGGUCCAUUAGACCUGUUUGUCUCACAAAGUAGGAGAGGUUUUUUUUGUUUGUUUUUUGUUUUUUUUUCAGAUGUUUCCUGUGGGGUAAGAGCUUUGUAUGGCCAGAUUAUUUGGAGAUACUGCUUUAAAUGACUGUGAUCUUGCUGAACUCUUAUGAUGCUUUUCUCAUAUUUUAAUCCAAAAGAAAGUACAUACCAGACCUUUUCAUCCUGUUCUCCAAACUCUUUACCAGUGGAAUGACCUACUAUGGUUGCAGCUGGAAGACGUUUUAAUUAGCUGCCAAUGAUGUCAUGUCCAUGUCUGUGUUAAAGGCACAGGUCUAAGUGUUCCUUUUUAUUUAAUGUACUGCAGAAAUUCCAUUUUGGGAUAGCAUUAAUACGCUUCAGAGCCAAUCUUGUAUUUCUCCUGUAGUUAAGACACUUGGCCUUCAGCCCCCUGACUUCUGACACUACCACAGUUGUGCUAUAAUCAUCCAGAAAUACACUGCCUGUUGUGUUUUAUUGCUCAUGUGAAAACUGUCCAAUUCCUUGUCAGUUGACAAGGGAGGAGCGCCGCAUUGAAGGAUUGCACAGCAGUGUGUCUGGGAGCUACGUUAUUUCACACCAGCAGCAACCUUUCAGUGUUUGCACUGUAGCCUCAUAGAGUGUUGGUGCUUUUGCCAUACAGCAGAGAGCAAACUCUAUUGUAGUCACUCUCUCUGCCAGAGAGACUGACUCAUGUUGCCAAAUAUCUCCCCUCAACACAUUUAUUGAACAUUAAAACAGCAGAAUAGCGUUGAAUGAAGUCCAGUAAUUUUAUAGGAUAUAUUUUAGUCACUAGACUUUGAAGACUAGUCCAAUGUUAAUUAUAAAGUUUCUGUGUCUGGAUAACAUAUUGUUAACAGUUAUUUUGUAAGUGCUAAUGGCAAGAUGGAAGAUUUCCAAUAGUUUUAUUGAGGAAGUGGCAAUUAAAAUGUUGAGC